rnacentral:rRNA from 1 species
UACGAAGGGGGCUAGCGUUGCUCGGAAUCACUGGGCGUAAAGGGUGCGUAGGCGGGUUUUAAGUCAGGGGUGAAAUCCUGGAGCUCAACUCCAGAACUGCCCUUUGAUACUGAAGAUCUUGAGUCCGGGAGAGGUGAGUGGAACUGCGAGUGUAGAGGUGAAAUUCGUAGAUAUUCGGAAGAACACCAGUGGCGAAGGCGGCUCACUGGCCCGGUACUGACGCUGAGGUGCGAAAGCGUGGGGAGCAAACAGG